AUUGCUAACGAGUGUAACAUUGCCGUACGUCUCGAAAUCUCGAUGUUUUCUGCUCCACUCUCCUCACCUGGUCACUCCCAAAUCAUCUCCCCCGCGGCUACACAAGGAGCUGGUGAAGUUUCCGACUCCAGUUAUCGUCUUUAUGGCCUUCACGGGGAGAUUAUGAUGGUUGUGGUGCUCUCGAUUUUCGGCCUCUUCAUCGCUUCUCUUCUUGUGUACCUCUAUGUGAAGCGCGAGAGUAAUCGUGGUAGCAAAGAACGAGAUUUAGAGGUGUGACGAAGCGUUAUUUGAUGAGUUCAUGCAUAUAGAGUACUUUGAUAAGAAUUCCGGAGGGACUCAUGGAGUAUUAACUGAUGAGGAAGGCAUCAACAAUUAUAUUGAGCUUUCAUCUAUUAGUAAAGAGGAUAGCCUCAGUUUUAGUGGAGGGUUAUUACAUUACAUAAUCUGUAUAACAUAUAGGGAAUACGAUGAAUUGAUGUUGAUAUAUAAUUUUCUGAAUCCAAAUAUUGAUGCAUUAUUAUGAUAAGUUUCUGGUUUUGAUGUU